CCUUGUGCUCAAACGGCUCUCCUCCCCUUGAAUUCAAAACAGCUCAAAAAAUCAGACAGAAAAUGCACACGAUUGACACACAUGUCGUGCAUCCGUCCGUGUAUGGGUCUCCUUAGGGUUCCAAACAGAAAAAUACUGUUCAUUAACAGUACACGAAAUGCCCCUGGAGUGAGGGAUGAGAGAGAUUGACAGUGGAAAAAUCUCUCCUACAGCCGGAUCUCUGGAAUUUUCCAUGGUUUCUAUCCCCCACUAAUUCCUCUCCCCCUCCUUCCCGCGCCUAAUUCACUCAGCCCUCACCUCUCUCUACCCCACUCAGACUCCCCCAUCUCCCAACACUGUCAAUCUCUCUCAUCCCUCACUACUCUGCCUCUACCAUCUGUCUCAUUCUCCCUCUCCGCAAAACCGAGAACCACCAUCACAUCAUCUCCAAACACCACCCAAACAAAAUAACGUCCCUGGAGCUUUUGCGCUGAUUCCAGUUUUUUUAGCGGUUUCCAAGAAACGCAGUCUGCGAUGCCUGUUCCGUCCUGAUUUGAGGAAGAUUUCUCUAGCGACUGUAAUUUCAUGGUAACCGUCUUCAGUUGGUUGUUUUGAACGCUGGAACCAGUGAUCUUUGAAAACGGUGUAAAAAUAUCUGUCACCCCCUCAACAUGGAUGCCUCUAAUAUGGCUAAUCAGUCAGACCGACAUCCAACCGAUCGGGUCGGUG